CGGACGCCGCAAUAGCCCGCCGGAGCUAGGUUCGAUCCCCUCGACCGCCCGAUGCCGCCGGUGAGCUCACGCCUAGCUGGUGGUGGUAUUAGGUGAAUUUCUUGCGCUACCUUUUGCAUUCAUAAUCAGCAGGUUACCAUGACUGGCGACCAACUGCAGGUAUCACGCAGCUCUGCCAUCAUCCCUCCGAGCUGUGGUUUCCUUCAUUUUCAUACCUACUA